rnacentral:rRNA from 1 species
GUGGUAGGAAGCCGAAAGGUGACCGACCCUUCGGGAGCUUGCACAGGUGCUGCAUGGCUGUCGUCAGCUCGUGUCGUGAGAUGUUCGGUUAAGUCCGCUAACGAGCGCAACCCUCGCUGUGUGUUAUAUGUGUCACACGGGACUGCCGGUCUUAAGCCGGAGGAAGGUGGGGAUGAUGUCAAGUCAGCAUGGCCUUUAUAUCCUGGGCUACACACACGCUACAAUGGCCAACACAAUAGGUUGCUAAGCCGCGAGGUGGCGCCAAUCCAUAAAGUUGGUCUCAGUUCAGAUUGUAGGCUGCAACCCGCCUGCAUGAAGAUGGAGUUGCUAGUAACCGCAGGUCAGCUAUACUGCGGUGAAUACGUUCCCGGGGCUU